ACCCCUGCUGUAACACAAUGUAUAGUGUGUUAGAUUUCUAAUCUAAAGGUCGUGGGUUCGGAUCCCACCUGGGAUA